rnacentral:tRNA from 1 species
GUAAACAUAAUUUAAGAAAAACACUAGAUUGUGAAUCUAGCAAUAAGAGAUCAGAACUCUUUAUAUACC